CAGCAGCCGCGGUAAUACGUAGGGGGCGAGCGUUGUCCGGAUUUACUGGGCGUAAAGGGUGAGUAGGCGGUUAUAUAUGUCAGAUGUAAAAGGCUAUGGCUUAACCAUAGUUGGCAUUUGAAACUGUAUGACUUGAGUGCAGGAGAGGUAAGUGGAAUUCCUAGUGUAGCGGUGAAAUGCGUAGAUAUUAGGAGGAACACCAGUGGCGAAGGCGACUUACUGGACUGUAACUGACGCUGAGUCACGAAAGCGUGGGUAGCAAACAGGAUUAGAUACCCUGGUAGUCCACGCUGUAAACGAUGAGUGCUAGGUGUUGGCCAGCGAUGGUCAGUGCCGCAGUAAACACAUUAAGCACUCCGCCUGGGGAGUACGUACGCAAGUAUGAAACUCAAAGGAAUUGAC
rnacentral:rRNA from 1 species